rnacentral:rRNA from 1 species
UAGCUCACUGGUCGAGUGAUCCUGCGCCGAAAAUUUCCGGGGCUAAAACGUACUACCGAAGCUACGGCAUCAUUUAUGAUGGGUAGGGGAGCUUCGUAUGCAGGCUGAAGCAUGACCGUAAGGACAUGUGGACAGUAUACGAGUGAGAAUGUUGGCAUGAGUAGCGAGACGUGGGUGAGAAUCCCACGGGCCGUAAACCCAAGGUUUCCAGGGAAAGGUUCGUCCGCCCUGGGUUAGUCGGGACCUAAGCCGAGGCCGAAAGGCGUAGGUGAUGGACAACAGGUUGAUAUUCCUGUACCGCCAAUAAGCGUUUGAGAGAUGGAGUGACACAGUAGGAUAAGCUAACCGUACUGUUGGUUAUGUACGGCUAAGCAUUGAGGCAGUCUAAAUAGGCAAAUCCGUUUAGACAAUGCUAGGAUGUGAUAGGGAAGCCCUUCGGGGCGUAGUAGCUGAUUUCACACUGUCAAGAAAAGCUUCUAUCGAGUUUAAAGGCGCCCGUACCGUAAACCGACACAGGUGGGUGAGGAGAGUAUCCUAAGGCCAGCGAGAG